AGUGUGGACUGGAUGAGGGAGCCUCAUUGGAAUAAACUCAUAUAGGAAUGAUGAUACUGUGUUUACCUACUAAUGGGAAUGACCCUAUUGAAGAGGGAACAUCACGUAUGUCGGGGAGCGGAAAAGUCAAAGUCCUCGAAAAGGAAGCACUUUGGAGACCAAUGGCUGAAAAGUUUGCUUUCUGUGAGAAGUGUAAAUCAAAGUCAUAUUUCUGUUUGCAGCAGUAGAGGAAAGAGAGAUAAACCUGAUGGACACAAACAGGUAAAAUCUGUCCAAAAUGACUCUGGGGCUUGUUGAAAAAUAAACGCCUGUGAGAUCUGUUUCAUUCGAGGGCAAGGCAUGGUGGAUCACCUUUCCACAUCAGUGCCUGGGUCUGAUCUGUAGCAUCUUUAUACACUCGCCAGAUUAACUGCAGCCAUCUGAAGGAACCCUAUAACCAGGAGGCCGCUGUCCUCAGGGUUGAGCACCAUCUAUGGUCAUAUCAGGGAAACUGUAUAUUUCCCAGCCAGGAAUAAACAUUCCUGCUGUCAAGUCUCCCA
rnacentral:lncRNA from 1 species